rnacentral:rRNA from 1 species
CCUACGGGGGGCAGCAGUGAGGAAUAUUGGUCAAUGGACGAGAGUCUGAACCAGCCAAGUAGCGUGAAGGAUGACUGCCCUAUGGGUUGUACACUUCUUUUAUAUGGGAAUAAAAUGUUCCACGUGUGGGAGUUUGUAUGUACCUUAUGAAUAAGGAUCGGCUAACUCCGUGCCAGCAGCCGCGGUAAUACGGAGGAUCCGAGCGUUAUCCGGAUUUAUUGGGUUUAAAGGGAGCGUAGGUGGAUUGUUAAGUCAGUUGUGAAAGUUUGCGGCUCAACCGUAAAAUGGCAGUUGAAACUGGCAGUCUUGAGUACAGUAGAGGUAGGCGGAAUUCGUGGUGUAGCGGUGAAAUGCUUAGAUAUCACGAAGAACUCCGAUUGCGAAGGCAGUUCACUGGACUGACACUGACACUGAGGCUCGAAAGUGUGGGUAUCAAACAGGAUUAGAUACCCCAGUAGUC